UACGUAGGGGGCAAGCGUUGUCCGGAUUUAUUGGGCGUAAAGAGCGUGUAGGCGGCUAGAUAGGUCCGUUGUGAAAACUCGAGGCUCAACCUCGAGACGUCGAUGGAAACCAUCUGGCUAGAGUCCGGAAGAGGAGAGUGGAAUUCCUGGUGUAGCGGUGAAAUGCUUAGAUAUGACAUAGAACACCAAUUGCGAAGGCAGCUCACUACACAAAGAUUGACACUGAGGCACGAAAGCGUGGGGAUCAAACAGG
rnacentral:rRNA from 1 species